GGAGUGAAGACAAAACGCUCUCGCAGUAAAUUCCUUGAGGCUUAUUAACCGCAAUGAUCCAUUCGUCUUCAAAUAUAACAUGACUUCUCGAAAGAGAAAAAAGAGCGGAUUUCGAAGAAGCCGUUAAAGCUCUAUUCGGCUCUAUGUCCUUAGAUAAGGUAGGCAAUGGCGGAGAUAAUGGUACUGGGUAAUCUGUGGUUGCCACCGAGGGAGAAUCGAAGUAGCUUUGGCUCGCCAUGAAGAUGAAUCGACGGUGCCGGGAAAUUCUGGUAGGAGACGCGAAGAAAUUUAUCGAAGGGAUUUGGAGGAGAGGGA
rnacentral:misc_RNA from 1 species